rnacentral:rRNA from 1 species
UACGUAGGGGGCUAGCGUUGUCCGGAAUCAUUGGGCGUAAAGCGCGUGUAGGCGGUUCGGUAAGUCCGCUGUGAAAGUCGGGGGCUCAACCCUCGAAUGCCGGUGGAUACUGUCGGACUAGAGUACGGAAGAGGCGAGUGGAAUUCCUGGUGUAGCGGUGAAAUGCGCAGAUAUCAGGAGGAACACCAAUGGCGAAGGCAGCUCGCUGGGACGGUACUGACGCUGAGGCGCGAAAGCGUGGGAGCAAACAGG